GACGUAGGGCGCGAGCGUUGUCCGGAUUUAUUGGGCGUAAAGAGCUCGUAGGCGGCUUGUUGCGUCGACCGUGAAAACCCGGGGCUCAACUUCGGGCUUGCGGUCGAUAUGGGCGGGCUAGAGUUCGGUAGGGGAGACUGGAAUUCCUGGUGUAGCGGUGAAAUGCGCAGAUAUCAGGAGGAACACCGGUGGCGAAGGCGGGUCUCUGGGCCGAUACUGACGCUGAGGAGCGAAAGCGUGGGGAGCAAACAGGAUUAGAACCUACCGUUGUCAGUCCAAGACCAAGUCUCGU
rnacentral:rRNA from 1 species